rnacentral:rRNA from 1 species
GAUGUGGGAUCUCAACAUAGAGAUGAAGGUGAUGAUGCCAUACUUCCAGGAAAAUCUUCUAAGCAUAGGUAACAAAAGACCGUACCGUAAACCGACACAGGUGGGUAGGUAGAGUAUACUAAGGGGCGCGAGAUAACUCUCUCUAAGGAACUCGGCAAAAUGACUCCGUAACUUCGGGAGAAGGAGUGCCUUAUUUUUAUAAGGUUGCAAUAACAAGAUCCAAGCAACUGUUUACCAAAAACACAGGUCUCCGCUAAGUCGUAAGACGAUGUAUGGGGGCUGACGCCUGCCCAGUGCCAGAAGGUUAAAGAAGUUGGUUAGUUUCGGCGAAGCUGAUGACUGAAGCCCUGGUGAACGGCGGCCGUAACGAUAACGGUCCUAAGGUAGCGAAAUUCCUUGUCGGGUAAGUUCCGACCCGCACGAAAGGCGUAAUGAUUUGGAUACUGUCUCGGAGAGGGGCUCGGUGAAAUAGACUUGUCUGUGAAGAUGCGGACUACCUGCACCUGGACAGAAAGACCCUAUGAAGCUUUACUGUAACUUGAGAUUGAAAUUGGACUUUAUUUGCGCAGUAUAGGUGGGAGACGUUGAGAAUAUUCUUGCGGGAAUAUUGGAGUCAUCAGUGAGAUACCACUCUUGUAAUGUUAGAUUUCUAACUUUGUGUCAUGAUCUGGUCAAAGGACAGUUUCAGGCGGGCAGUUUGACUGGGGCGGUCGCCUCCCAAACGGUAACGGAGGCGCACAAAGGUUUCCUCUGAACGUGUAGAAAUCGUAUCUAGAGUGUAAAGGCAUAAGGAAGCUUGACUGCGAGACCUACAAGUCGAGCAGGGACGAAAGUCGGUCUUAGUGAUCUGACGGUGCUGAGUGGAAAGGCCGUCACUCAACGGAUAAAAGUUACUCUAGGAUAACAGGCUGAUCUCCCCCAAGAGUUCACAUCGACGGGGAGGUUUGGCACCUCGAUGUCGGCUCAUCGCAUCCUGGGGCGGUAGUACGUCCCAAGGGUUGGGCUGUUCGCCCAUGAAAGCGGUACGCGAGCUGGGUUCAGAACGUCGUGAGACAGUUCGGUCCAUAUCCGGUGUAGGCGUUAGAAUAUUGAGAGGAGCCUUCUUUAGUACGAGAGGACCGAGAAGGACAUACCUCUGGUGUACCAGUUAUCGUGCCAACGGUAAACGCUGGGUAGCUAUGUAUGGAGUGGAUAACCGCUGAAAGCAUCUAAGUGGGAAGCCCACCUCAAGAUAAGUAUUCUC